CGACGUCUUCAGGGCGGGGCGAAAUUCCCCACCGGCGGUAGGUUGAAGGGCUCACGCCCGACAACGAGCCCGCGAGCGCUUCCGGUCACACGGAAGGUCAGCAGAUCCGGUCGAAUGCCGGAGCCGACGGCUGGAAACGGGCGACCGCUUCCUCACAGUCCGGAUAAAGAGAAGACGGCA
rnacentral:ncRNA from 2 species